rnacentral:rRNA from 1 species
AUGGCAUUUGUCUGCUGCAGCAACACCAUUUUAGCACCAGCGACAACAAGUUCUCACCACGGGUGGAUGGAUAAAUUUCCUACCAUACUACGUCACAAAAAGGAGAUCAACAGAGAAAGACCCCUGCAGGUUGAGCAACCAACAGUGAGAUCCAGUGCCGUCACAUCAGGGGGAAUCAACACAUUUAGAGGGCAGAGCAUGAAGGCGCACUUUCUCCUUCCCAUGUCUAUCUCCAUCCCUUUGCCUCCCUCUCUUCCUCCCAGCUCUCACCGGCAACAACACAACGACGAUGGAUCUCGGGGUAGGGAUUGGAGUAGAAGGCUAAUGAAUCCGCUAGCCGGGGUUGACGAGGGCUGGCCGCAUUACCUGGGUCAGAGGAGGGAGGCGAAGAAGACGGCGAGGAAGAAAAGGGAGCCGCAACAGCGUCUGCAACAAGCCACCGCCUCCGCUCCUCACGGUCUCACCCAACUCCUCCGGUGA